rnacentral:lncRNA from 1 species
CUUCAUGGACACCCACACAGAUUCACUGGAGAGCAAAGCCUACCAGAGUCCCUGUCAGCAGCACUGUUUCUAGAAGCUUCCACAUGAGCAGACAGCAUGGAGUCCUGGGGGCUAAUGAAGCAGCAAUGUCAGCAUGAGCACAGGCAGGGAGAGGCAAGAGGAGCAGAGUAAAGGGGAACGUUCUCUUCAUUCUUCCACCUGCCUGUCCCCCAGCCGACACGUCCCUUCCGUUCCCUGCAAGGCCAUUUCCAGGGAGGCUUACGAAGACAGCAGAUGAUGGUGAUGGAAGGAGUCUGGGUGCUGAGCUGUGCCAUGGACCUGGAGAGAAACUGAGUCCGAGGGAUGUCAACAUGCCAAGUCCAUGGAAAUAUCAGUGGGCUGGAAUUCUAGCUGCCUGAAAGAAGACAUUCCUCACACAAGACCUCACAAUCAUAUCCAUGGAAUUAUAGCACUGGGCUCUCCAGAUGGUGCUACAGGAAGACCUCCAGAAAUUUGACUCCUCUAUUCAAGGCCCUACCACAGAGACACACAGGAACGGAACUCAGAAUCACAAACAAAGAAACUUUGAUCCAAGAAAGAAAAUGAUCUUUAAAAAGACCCUCGUUUCAUGCUGGCCGAUGCUGAGAAAAUCUGCUCUGAAGGAUAUUUGGAGACACUGAUUAAAAGGUAGUACCAUCACCACAUAUUUAACUUCCCCCUCUUUUUCCUCUGCUUCUAGGAGUAGAGAAACCAACAAAACCAACCGGAGAGAGAUGGUUUCAAACAAUCUGUCCCCCACCCCACCACUAUUCACACCUUUCACAAGGGCCCAGCCACAAAGCCAGUGCAACAUGACAUCAAUCAUCAGCAAAGUGGAGAUGGUUGUCCCAGUGGAGGGGGAUUCUUCGUGUUACGUAGAUAGGAAGCACGAUGCAAAAGUGUUGAAGCAGGAGUGUAAAGAAUAAUUAAAACACCUGCCCAAGACCCAAGCAAGGAUAGGAUUUCCCAGACAUUCGUGAGGGAGAAAAUGCCAUGUCCUUUCCUUCUGGUGUCACAUCAGAAUCUGAAGGCUGCUAGAGAAGGGAGAGAAACAUGAAAGUGAGUCCCAUGCUGAUUGUUGUUGAAAUACCUGGAAAGAAACUGGCAAAGACUAUCCAAGGGAUGCUAAGACAUGUCCGAACUUACAAAACAGUAGAACCUGAAUAGGAAUUUGAAGUUGUCUAUACUCUCCUCAGCCACACCCUGCCAUUUUACAGAUUGUCUUCUCUGGGGAAGUUAGCUGUCAUGUUGUGAGGAUACUCAAGCAGUUUAUAAAGAGGUUCAUGUCGCAAGGAAUGGAGGCCUCCUGCCAACAGCCAUGUAAAGGAGCCAUCUAGGAAAUAGAUUCUCCAGCCCCAGUCAGACCUUCAGAUGAUUACAGCCCCUACCAACCUUCUGACUGCGGUGGAAGGAAGGUUCCGGAACCAGAACCACCCAGGUUAAUGUGGGUAAGUCUCAUCCAAUCCUUUGAAGGCCUGAAGAACAAAGAGUGAGGUUUCUGGAAGAAGAAAAUUUUACCUCAAGCCUGCAAUGUAGAAAUUCUGCUUGAGUUUCCCGCCUGCUGGCCUGCCCUGUGGAAUUCGGAGUCAAGAAGGAGUCUUGUAAGCAUUAACUGAGAUAGUAUAUGAAGAGUGCUUUUGCACCGAGUGAACCUUCAAUCAACUGUACUAGUUUGUAUGCCUGGAAGAGCUGCUAUAUGGGAUCAGAAAGAAAAAUAAGGUGCAUACGCCAGAAAAAAAAUACUUGCAUAUGAGUACUAGGAGAUGCAUGACAAUGUUCACGGCAGCAGUAUUCAUGGCAGUGAAAAAUGAAAAGAACUGAAAUGCCCAUUGAUAAAAACGUCUACUUAUUUGUGUCAUCUUUGCACAGUGGAAUUGUGCGAGUGGAAAUGAUUGAUCUACAGCUAGGAGAAGCAGCAGAGCUCAAUCUCAAAAACAUAACGUUGUGUGGAAAAAGCUAACCUCAGAACACUUUGCGGCUCUAUCUUAGCAAACCAGGAGAGAAAUUCUCCUGAUGGCCUUGAAGAAGCAAACAGCCACCUGGUUAAGCCCCUGUGGAUAGUGCCAAGUGGCAGGAAAGUGGGAGCCACCUCUAGGACCUGAGGAUUAAAGUCAGUAAGAGCUGGGACCUCACUCAUGCAGACUCGAGGACAUGAAUUCGACCAACAACUUGAAUGAGCUUGGAAGUGGAUUCUUCCCUAGUCCAGUCUUCAGAAAUUAAGAAUGUUCCCAAAGAAUGAUGGAGACAUUUCAAAAGGAUACGGAAGCCAGAUUGUGGGCGCUUCUACUGGCCAACUCUGGGACAUCGUGGACAUCAAAAUAAAUUUGUAAUAAUAAAGGAUUAUAGCCUAUUAGUUAAAUCAGAAAAAUCUGAUUUAACUAAAUGAGUAGGAGGAAAAGAAAGCUCUUCCUUAUAUUAGAAAGUCAAUUAAUAAAUGCAGAAAGGAAUGAAAAAAUUAGAAAAGCCACCAUUUGGCAACCAUGGCAGGCAGAAUGGGGAGUAUGCCUCCAGACAGUAAUUCCUUUCAAACUGGUUUAUAGGAACUCACUGAGCUUGCUGAUCGACCUCUGAGAGGCAAAGUUUCUGAAUUAUGAAGUACUGAUUAUAUAAACUUAGACAGAGACAUGCUUCAUUAUUUAAUAGGACUGUGUCAAAAGCCUACUAUUAGGAUGAUGUGUUGGGUGUGGAACAGGGUCUCUUCCUGCCAGGAACACUGGUGAUUUCACUCCGUGUUCAGGCUGAUCUUUGAAGUUGAAGACAAGCAGAAGAAUCCUUCUAAAAUUUAGCCAUGCCCAUAGGCUGGGAGGGACACUGCUCCAUUCAGAGGCAGCAAAGCACAUUACUGUAUCUCCUAUAGAGCUUUGAGCAGUCCAGUGUACAUGGAGAAACUUAGUAAAUGUUGUUGAAUUAGUGAAUGAACAAAUCAAUGGACCAAGUCAGGGGUAAGUCUUACAUUUGUCAUCUAGGUGAUUAAGAAAGGAAAAAGUAUCUGUUUCAAGAGGAUUACAAUCUAACUGUACUCCAAUAGUAAAAUUUACUCUUUUGGAAUCUG